rnacentral:rRNA from 1 species
AUUGAACGCUGGCGGCAUGCCUUACACAUGCAAGUCGAACGGCAGCACGGGUGCUUGCACCUGGUGGCGAGUAGCGAACCGGUGAGUAAUACAUCGAAACGUACCUUAUCGUGGGGGAUAACGCAGCGAAAGCUGUGCUAAUACCGCAUACGCCCUGAGGGGGAAAGCGGGGGAUCGAAAGACCUCGCGCGAUUAGAGCGGCCGAUGCCUGAUUAGCUUGUUGGUGGGGUAAAAGCCCACCAAGGCGACGAUCAGUAGCUGGUCUGAGAGGACGAUCAGCCACACUGGGACUGAGACACGGCCCAGACUCCUACGGGAGGCAGCAGUGGGGAAUUUUGGACAAUGGGGGCAACCCUGAUCCAGCAAUGCCGCGUGAGUGAAGAAGGCCUUCGGGUUGUAAAGCUCUUUCGUCAGGGAAGAAACACCGGCUCUAACACAGUCCGGGAAUGACGGUACCUGAAGAAUAAGCACCGGCUAACUACGUGCCAGCCGCCGCGGUAA